rfam:Daphnia magna strain Xinb3 contig41393, whole genome shotgun sequence.
GACCCUGAACGGUGGAUCACUAGGCUCGUGGAUCGAUGAAGAGCGCAGCAAAGUGCGCUAAUCCAUGCGAACUGCAGAACAC